UGCUAGUUGCCUAUUAAGUUUUUGAGAGAGAAUUUAUUUCUCUCAAUUGUGUGUUCUCUCUUCUUGCACUCAAGGAUUCUAGCAAACUUCCUUGCAUGUGGAUUAGCUUCCGUGCCUUCGUGUGGACUUCUCAAGAGCAAUUCCGUCUUGAAUUAACUAGCGAAAAGUAAAUCGAAGAACCUGAAGGAGCCUCCAAAUGCAGGAAACAAUGCAAGCGCUACUAUGUGGAGGUGAUUGGUGUCACAAUCUCAAUGGAGUGAAGAAAAAGAGCAAAAAAGAGAAGAAACCAGUGGAGAUUAAGCUUCAUAUCCCUUCAAUUGAUGGAAAUCAAGAGAUUGUUUGAUCCUCCCAAGACUGUUUGAUCUUCGGGACUCAUUGGCAGAUGUUGAGAAUGGACUUGUUUGUUGGGAAGUAUUGAAGACCAAUUUUUACAUGGAAUACAUAGAAAUGUAUUUAAGCUGCAUGCUGGGUUUGGGCCAUUUUCAGAAAGAGAUGAUUAAUUUAAUGAGAAGUAAAGAGUAGCAAGAAAAACCAGGAAAGUGUGAGAAGGAGAGGGAAAAUUUGAGAGAAAAUUUCCUUAAGAGACGUGUUGUAUUUUUCAUUAGUUUGUGAAGUAUUACACGGUUUCUUUAUGUACAAAAUGGACUGUGGUCAACAAGUCAACACAAUUCAGUCAACCAUACACCUACUUCACAAUGUGUAACAACUUUCACUUUUCCUAACAUCCUCCCCUAAACCAAACCUCCUUAGCACUCAGCCAACAAGUUAUUUGUUACAUUCUCUGUACCUUUUCACAAAUCCUAACAUUCUCGCGUAAACUAAACUUCCAUAAGACUAAAAGAAAGACCACAGUUUUGACUAAUGCUUCC